AGCAGCCGCGGUAAUUCCAGCUCCAAUAGCGUAUAUUAAAGUUGUUGCAGUUAAAAAGCUCGUAGUUGAAUUUCGAGACCGGUUUACUGGUCGUGCUUUUGUACGUACUGGUAUUAUUGGUUUCUCCUUUCUGACGAAUCAUAAUGCCAUUAAUUUGGUGUUUUGGGGAAUCAGGACUGUUACUUUGAAAAAAUUAGAGUGUUUAAAGCAGGCUCACGCUUGAAUACAUUAGCAUGGAAUAACGAAAUAGGACGUUUGAUUUUAUUUUGUUGGUUUCUAGGAUCGACGUAAUGAUUAAUAGGGAUAGUUGGGGGCAUUAGUAUUCAAUUGUCAGAGGUGAAAUUCUUGGAUUUAUUGAAGACUAACUACUGCGAAAGCAUUUGCCAAGGAUGUUUUCAUUAAUCAAGAACGAAAGUUAGGGGAUCGAAGACGAUCAGAUACCGUCGUAGUCUUAACCAUAAACUAUGCCGACUAGGGAUCGGAUGAUGUUAAUUUUUAAUGACUCAUUCGGCGC
rnacentral:rRNA from 1 species